rnacentral:rRNA from 1 species
UACAGGGGGUGCAAACGUUGCUCGGAAUCAUUGGGCGUAAAGCGCACGUAGGCGGUUCGUUAUGUCGGAUGUGAAAGCCCUUGGCUUAACCGAGGAAGUGCAUCCGAAACUGGCGAGCUAGAGUACUAAAGAGGAUCGCGGAAUUCCCGGUGUAGAGGUGAAAUUCGUAGAUAUCGGGAGGAACACCGGUGGCGAAGGCGGCGAUCUGGGUAGAUACUGACGCUGAGGUGCGAAAGCGUGGGGAGCAACAGG